rnacentral:rRNA from 1 species
CAGAGGUCUCAAGCGUUAAUCGGAAUUACUGGGCUUAAAGGGUCCGCAGGCGGUCUGACAAGUACCUUGUGAAAUAUCAGGUCUCAACCCUGAAACUGCUCGGUAGACUGUCAGACUUGAGUGCAAAAGGGGUCGCUGGAACUCUAGAUGGAGCGGUGAAAUGCGUAGAUAUCUAGAGGAACGCCAAAGGUGAAGGCAGGCGACUGGUUUGCAACUGACGCUCAUGGACGAAAGCGUGGGGAUCAAACGGGAUUAGAUACCCCGGUAGUCCACGCCCUAAACGAUGUAUACUUGGUUGCGGCGGCUUUGACGCCGUCGUGGCCGGAGCAAAAGUGUUAAGUAUACCGCCUGGGGAGUACGGUCGCAAGGCUA